AACGAACGCUGGCGGCAGGCUUAACACAUGCAAGUCGAACGCACCUUUCGGGGUGAGUGGCAGACGGGUGAGUAACGCGUGGGAAUCUACCCUUCUCUACGGGAUAGCUCCGGGAAACUGGAAUUAAUACCGUAUACGUCCUGAGGGAGAAAGAUUUAUCGGGGAAGGAUGAGCCCGCGUUGGAUUAGCUAGUUGGUGGGGUAAAGGCCUACCAAGGCGACGAUCCAUAGCUGGUCUAAGAGGAUGAUCAGCCACAUUGGGACUGAGACACGGCCCAAACUCCUACGGGAGGCAGCAGUGGGGAAGAUUGGACAAUGGGCGCAAGCCUGAUCCAGCCAUGCCGCGUGAGUGAUGAAGGCCCUAGGGUUGUAAAGCUCUUUCAGUGGGGACGAUAAGGACGGUACCCACAGAAGAAGCCCCGGCUAACUUCGU
rnacentral:rRNA from 1 species